GUGACAUUCAAGAAAGCCCUGGAGGAUGUACAGCUAGGUUGACUCAUGCUUGAGGAAGUCUGCAUGGGGAGGGGUGGAAAGGAGGACAAUUCCAAGAUCCCCUAAGAAGGAAUAAAUGUUAUAGCUCUGGCAAAGGUUUCAGUCUGCAGGUGUUGCCUCCUGCCCGGAGUGGAAACAGAAGGAAAUACAUUGCUGAAAGCAAGGGAGCAGAAGUGGCCUUCAACAAAGGAGUGAUGGCAGUUUCCAAUGCUACAAAGAGAGCCAGCAAGAUAAGAUUUAGGGGGUAUCCACUUUUAGCUCCACACUGAAUGAUAAUAAAGCUUAUAUUUUGCUGUAGACCA